ensembl:lncRNA
GUUAAAGUCUCAAUUCACACAGCGAGGGUUACUUCCUAUGUCAUAUUCUAUAUGAAACUUGUGUUUUCCUCUCAGGUUUCUGGGUUCCAGCGUGGCGGCUCGGUGGUCUGCAGGUCAACAGGAAGUGGUUCCUGCACAGCCGAACAGCAGCAGCUCCCCCUCUCUAUCACGGUGGCCCUGAACUCUGAGAUAUCUGAGAAUGUCUAUGAGGAGGACGUCCUCCAACAGCAGCUUCUCCUCCUUCGCCGUGGUUUGGAUGGGUUCUCUGCACAUGUGGUUUGAUGGACAGGAGUCCUGAUGUGAUGGACAUGUGAUGGUCCAUAGGCGUAACCACGCAUUCUUUGGGGGGGGUCGUGUCCCCCCCAAUAUUGAAAAGGCGUCACAGAGAGACGGGGAAAGAGACAGGCAAGAUGAAAGCAGUGGCCACACAGGGACAAGCUCUGGACAUGCAGAUGAUCAGGAGACUGACAGGGAAAGAGAGACAGAACCAGGCACAGGAGGCAGUGGUUUAGAUCAGCGUGAGGAGGAGCUCGGUACCUGCCCACACCAGCCCAAUACCCACUUUAUUGAAACUCAGUCCCUGGAAAAAAAAGACACUCAGAUUUCAGGACACUUGGUUUAGGCAGUACAAAUGGCUUCAUUACAGUCCCUCACUUAAUGGGAAGAAAAAAGGCAUAGUACAAGUGUUUCAACUGUGAC